rnacentral:rRNA from 1 species
GAUGAACGCUGGCGGCGUGCCUAAUACAUGCCAGUCGAGCGAACAGACGAGGAGCUUGCUCCUCUGACGUUAGCGGCGGACGGGUGAGUAACACGUGGAUAACCUACCUAUAAGACUGGGAUAACUUCGGGAAACCGGAGCUAAUACCGGAUAAUAUAUUGAACCGCAUGGUUCAAUAGUGAAAGACGGUUUUGCUGUCACUUAUAGAUGGAUCCGCGCCGCAUUAGCUAGUUGGUAAGGUAACGGCUUACCAAGGCGACGAUGCGUAGCCGACCUGAGAGGGUGGUCGGCCACACUGGAACUGAGACACGGUCCAGACUCCGACGGGAGGCAGCAGUAGGGAAUCUUCCGCAAUGGGCGAAAGCCUGACGGAGCAACGCCGCGUGAGUGAUGAAGGUCUUCGGAUCGUAAAACUCUGUUAUUAGGGAAGAACAAAUGUGUAAGUAACUAUGCACGUCUUGACGGUACCUAAUCAGAAAGCCACGGCUAACUACGUG